rnacentral:rRNA from 1 species
UACGGAGGGUGCAAGCGUUAUUCGGAUUCACUGGGUUUAAAGGGCGCGUAGGCGGGUUGGUAAGUCAGUGGUGAAAUCUCCGAGCUUAACUCGGAAACUGCCAUUGAUACUAUAGGUCUUGAAUUAUCUGGAGGUGAGCGGAAUAUGUCAUGUAGCGGUGAAAUGCUUAGAUAUGACAUAGAACACCAAUUGCGAAGGCAGCUCACUGCGGAUAUAUUGACACUGAGGCACGAAAGCGUGGGGAUCAAACAGG